GGCUCGUUGGUCUAGGGAUAUGAUUCUCGCUCCGGGUGUGAGAAGUCCCGGGUUCAAAUCCCGGACGAGCCC
rfam:Danio rerio unplaced genomic contig NA155, GRCz11 reference primary assembly.